rnacentral:rRNA from 1 species
CCUACGGGUGGCAGCAGUGAGGAAUAUUGGUCAAUGGACGAGAGUCUGAACCAGCCAAGUAGCGUGAAGGAUGACUGCCCUAUGGGUUGUAAACUUCUUUUAUAUGGGAAUAAAAUGUUCCACGUGUGGGAUUUUGUAUGUACUAUAUGAAUAAGGAUCGGCUAACUCCGUGCCAGCAGCCGCGGUAAUACGGAGGAUCCGAGCGUUAUCCGGAUUUAUUGGGUUUAAAGGGAGCGUAGGUGGAUUGUUAAGUCAGUUGUGAAAGUUUGCGGCUCAACCGUAAAAUUGCAGUUGAAACUGGCAGUCUUGAGUACAGUAGAGGUGGGCGGAAUUCGUGGUGUAGCGGUGAAAUGCUUAGAUAUCACGAAGAACUCCGAUUGCGAAGGCAGUUCACUGAACUGCAACUGACACUGAUGCUCGAAAGUGUGGGUAUCAAACAGGAUUAGAUACCCCUGUAGUC